rnacentral:rRNA from 1 species
AUUGAACGCUGGCGGAAUGCUUUACACAUGCAAGUCGAACGGCAGCACGGACUUCGGUCUGGUGGCGAGUGGCGAACGGGUGAGUAAUGUAUCGGAACGUGCCCAGUCGUGGGGGAUAACGUAGUGAAAAUUACGCUAAUACCGCAUACGAUCUAUGGAUGAAAGCGGGGGAUCGCAAGACCUCGCGCGAUUGGAGCGGCCGAUAGCAGAUUAGGUAGUUGGUGGGGUAAAGGCCCACCAAGCCAACGAUCUGUAGCUGGUCUGAGAGGACGACCAGCCACACGGGAACUGAGACACGGUCCAGACUCCUACGGGAGGCAGCAGUGGGGAAUUUUGGACAAUGGGCGAAAGCCUGAUCCAGCCAUUCCGCGUGCAGGAUGAAGGCCCUCGGGUUGUAAACUGCUUUUGUACAGAACGAAAAGGUUUCUACUAAUACUAGGAGCUCAUGACGGUACUGUAAGAAUAAGCACCGGCCAACUACGUGCCAGCCGCCGCCGUAA